CCGGAUAUGACGAAAUACCAUCCUUGCUCUGCGAGUCGAUGAGCAUUCACUUGAGAACACUGACGAAGUACAGUAGCAUCGGGUUACUGUAGCUGACUCAGUGAAUUCUUGAGUGGUUCAUCGCCGGUGAACAGUUAUGGCCUCUGAUCCGU
rnacentral:snoRNA from 1 species